UGCGUUGGAAACUGCCAAACUAGAGUGCAGGAGAGGUAGGCGGAACUACAAGUGUAGAGGUGAAAUUCGUAGAUAUUUGGAGGAACGCCGAUAGAGAAGGCAGCUCACUGGACAGAUACUGACACUGAAGCGCGAAAGCAUGGGGAGCAAA
rnacentral:rRNA from 1 species